AUGGGGAGAAACGGCGGAAAAAUGGGAAAAAAAGAUGAAAAAAUGGGGAAAAACAACAAAAAAAUGGAGAGAAAUGAUGGAAAAAUGGGAAAAAGAGGGACACAGAAAAGGGAGAACCCAGCCCGGCACGUGGCCAACUCCCAGGCCUUGGACUCUGCAAUUCCAGGGGGAAAAUCCAGGGAAAAAUUCAUGGGAUGGGGAGAAACGAGGAAAAAAUGGGGAGAAACAAUGAAAAAAAUGGGAAAAAAAGAUGAAAAAAUGGGAAAAAAAGGACACAGAAAAGGGAGAGCCCAGCCCAGCAUGUGGCCACCUCCCAGGCCGUGGACUCUGCAAUUCCAGUUAAAAAUCCUUUUCCCAUUUUUCCCUAUUUUUUUUCCCCCAUUUUGUUCCCAUUUUCCCCAUUUUGUUCCCAUUUCCCCAUUUUGUUCCCAUUUUCCUCAAUUUGUUCCCAUUUUUCCCCAUUUUUUCCCUGUUUUGCUCCCAUUUUCCCCAAUUUAUUCCUAUUUUCCCCAUUUUGUCCCCAUUUUCCCCCAUUUUUUCCAUAUUUUCCCCCAUUUUGUUCCCAUUUUCCCCAUUUUGUUCUCAUUUUCCCAAUUUUAUCCCCAUUUUGUUCCCAUUUUCUUCCCAUUUUCCUCCAUUUUUUGCCCAUUUGAUUCCCAUUUCCCCAUUUUGUUCCCAUUUCCCCAUUUUGUUCCCCAUUUUUCACCAUUUUCCCCCAUUUUUUCCGUUUUGUUCCCAUUUUUCCAAUUUGUUCCAAUUUUUCCCCGUUUUCCUCCAUUUUCUUCCCAUUUUCCCCAUUUCCCCCCCUUUUUCCCCCAUUUUUCCCCAUUUCCCCCAUUUUAUUCCCAUUUCCCNNNNNNNNNNAAUUUUCCCCAUUUUAUUUCCAUUUUCCCCCAUUUUCCCCCCAUUUUAUUCCCAUUUUUUCCCCAUUUUUUCCGUUUUUCCCGUUUUUCUCACCGUUCAUCCUCCAGAUCUUCACCUGGCGGUCGUCGGCUCCGGACACAAUCAGGGGCAUGGAGGGGUGGAAGGCGGCCCAGUUCACCCCGCGGUCGUGGCCCUGGAGCCGGAAUUCCGGGAAAAACAACGGGAAUCAGACGGAAUUCCGGGAAUAACAACGGGAAUCAGCCGGAAUCCCGGGAAAAACAACGGGAAUCAGCCAGAAUCCCGGGAAAAACAACGGGAAUCAGCCACAAUCCCAUGAAAAAAAUUCCCUGCAGAUUCCCAUGGAUUUCCUGUCAUUCCCCAUGGAUUUCAUGGAUUCUCCAUGGAUUCCCCAUUAAUCUCCAUGGAUUUCCAUGGAUUUCCCAUGGAUCCCCCACGGAUUCCUCAUAG
rnacentral:lncRNA from 1 species